rnacentral:lncRNA from 1 species
CUCUCUCCGGCUCUGCCAUGGUAAGAUGUGACUGCUUCCCCUUCACCGUCUGCCAUAAUUGUAAGUUUCCUGGGGCCUCACAGCCAUGCUUCCUGUACAGCCUGCGGAACAGUGAGUCAAUUAAACCUGUUUUCUUCAUAAGUUACCCAGUCUCAGGUAGUUCUUUAUAGCAGUGUGAGAACGGACUAAUAGACACACCUACCCGAAUUUAUUACACAGAUGUCAUGGGAGCCUCCCAGGAAGGAUGUUUGUCUCUGACCAGUAACUAAUCUGGAGUCACCUGAGGGAAGGAGUAAUCCCUCCCGGGCGUCCUAUCCUGGCAAUCACCUGGAUUUGCCUCUUGACUCCUAGUUCUGUGCAAGAUAGGUGAACUGUAGGUAAAAACGGUAGUUUCACGUAAAAAACUCAGAGAUCUUUGAGCAUAAGCAGCACUGCUUUGGUGUCUGCAAGGAAAAAUAUAACUCAAUUGAGAGAAAGAUUCCAUCCUGUCUCUCCUGUAAGGAAAAUGGCUUCUGUUUUAAGGCAUUCAGAACUCCGGGAAACACAGUCAAGCAUUUCCUGACUCGGCAACUGGGAAUCAGUUGAGGGUCUCUCAGAUUCAUGUUGGUGCUGCCUGAACAACCUUGGCAUUAGUAUUAUAAAGAACACAAUACAGUGGGGAGUUUGCAUUUUCCUCUUGUUUAUUUUCAAUUGCAUUUAUGGUUGAUGGGGCUGGGUGCUGGGUGGGGUACAGGGCAAGUUUCUCUAUAUCUUCAUUUCCUUUGUCUCACACUGUAACACCUAGGUCGUAGCUUAGUUUACACAGCUAGUGUUCAACUAAUUAUGUUGAUUGAGAUAACUGCUGAAAGCAAACCUUUUAAGAAUUAUUUGCGUAAUAAAAAUGUGGCAUGCCUGUGAAUUAUAAACAGAGUCCGUUUACUUUUCAAAAUAUUCCUAACCAACCAGAAACCUCAUAAUCAACUAACGGUGCUGGGAAACUAGGAGAAAAAUACUUCAGAAACUUUAGUUAGGGGAGCAACUAGGUAUAUAUUUGUUUUUAACCAAGUUCUACCUCAGUUUCCCACUUAUGGUUUCUGCUUGAAGAUCCCACCAAGACCCAGGCCUUGUCAUGAAUGCCGAUGGGUGGCUGUGCUCCUUUAGCCUACCUUUUACCGUCUGCCUUCCUUGGCCUUGUCUCUGCUUCCUGCAGCCCCUGGCACCGCCUCCGUCCUUCACUCCCUCCCACUUGUGUGGGUCCUGCAUUUGGGUGGCUUUCUUAGAAAAAGCCACUGCCUUCCUGCCUGAUGGCAAGUAUGGUCUGAUGCUUGUGUUUCCUGGUGUUCCCUGUAUUGGCAAGGACCUCUGGCUACCAACCAACAACUGCCCAAUUCUCUAUUACGUUUGUAUUGUCCUUGUUACUACUCUACUGCCUUUGUUCAAGUUCGCUGAAAUCAUUAGUUAGUUUCAACAUCAGUCCUACCAUGCUUUGUGGCGAGCAAAUUUCUAGCCUUUUCCUAAUACCUCCAUGAAAAAAAAAUUAUUUUAAGUUCUGGGGUACACGUGCAGGAUGUGCAGGUUUGUUACAUAGGUAAAGAUGUGCCAUAGUGGUUUGCUGCACCUAUCAACCCAUCACCUAGGUAUUAAGCCCAGCAUGCAUUAGCUCUUUUCCCUAAUGCUCUCCCUCCCCCGCCUCACCUCCUGCCCUCCCCUGACAGGCUCCUGUGAGUGUUGUUCCCCUCCCUGUGACCAUUGUUCACCUCCCACUUAUAAGUGAGAACGUGCAGUGUUUGGUUUUCUGUUCCCGUGUUAGUUCGCCGAGGAUAAUGGCUUCCAGAUUCAUUCAUGUCCCUGCAAAGGACAUAAUCUUGUUCCUUUUUAUGGCUAUAUAGUGUUCCACGGUGUAUAUAUACCACAUUUUCUUUAUCCAGACUAUCAUUGAUGGGCAUUUGGGUUGAUUCCACGUCUUUGCUAUUGUGAAUAGUGCUGCAGUGAACAUACACAUGCAUGUGUCUUUAUAAUAGAAUGACUUAUAUUCCUUUGGGUAUGUACCCAGUAAUGGGAUUUCUGGGUCAAAUGGUAUUUCUGCCUCUCGGUCUUUGAGGAAUUGCCGCACUGUCUUCCACAAUGGUUGAACUAAUUUACAUUCCCACUAACAAUGUAAAAGCGUUCCUAUUUCUUCACAGCCUUGCCAAUAUCUGUUGUUUCUUGACUUUUUAAUAAUCACCAUUCUGACUGGCAUGAGAUGGUAUCAUUGUUUGAUUUGCAUUUCUAAUUUUAUGAAGUGAUACUCGGGUCAAAAAGUGUGCACAUACUGGACAGGCUAAAUAGGAUGAAGGCAUUGUUUCUUAACCCAAACAUUAGCAAGUGUUUCUAAGAGUGUGGUCUAUGGGGCUAUCUGCAUCAGAAUCAUUUGGGGAGCAAAUUAACGAAGGAAAUUUCUGGGUCCUUCCUCCAGUAACUAGUUUUUUUGAUUCUGUAAGUCUAAGAAACAGGUUUUUAUCGUUGUUGUUGUUUGUUUUGCUUUAAACCCAGCCAGUUUGAGAGCCACUGCUUUAUAUUUCGUUCUUAAUUUUGGCUAAAAAUCCCAGGGUAGAGGUG